GGGGCGAUAGCUCAGUUGGGAGAGCGCCUCCCUCGCACGGAGGAGGUCAGGGGUUCGACUCCCCUUCGCUCCACAA
rnacentral:tRNA from 1 species